AUUUAUUUAGUAUAAUAAGUACUUUUGAUUUCCAAUCAAAAAGUCUAAUAUAACUUAGAAUAAAUA
rnacentral:tRNA from 1 species